GCUGUGUGUCUAACAGCGGCUGCUGCAACUAUCCAGAAAAAAAAGUUUGUGCCUGUGUGUGCGUGUGGACAAAAUACAAUGAGCAACUAAUUGUACUUUUUGGCGCGUCGAGAGGCUGUAAAAAGCCAAAGCCGUGUCAGAGCUGAGUGAACGUGAAAUGUGACAAACGCAGUGACAGUUAACAUUUGCAAAAAUACAAACAAACCGAAAGAGAGAGCGGAACAAGAAAAUAAACAAAUGCUGGCUGGCAGACGUUACAAGUUUUCGAGGCAUUGUAUGCAGUGUGUGUUGGCCCCAGGAGACAUUUAACAUAAUAAAAACGAACGUGUGCAGCAUUCGUUCGUGGCUGUGAGUUUUUGCCUGGUUUUGUUUAAUGCUAAUAACGAACAACAGCAACAACAGCAGUCGAGAUAGUAGCAACAAUAUUGCAAAUGUGUGCGCCAAAGCAGUUGGCAAAAGUGUCGUAAAUCGUUUAGACGGCAAAACGUGAAAAGCGCCAACAACACGGACCCAGCACCCGGACCAGGACCACACAAUUUCGCUUUGGGCAGUUCAGCAGCGAUAUGUAAACGACAAUGCCGCCGUGGGAACAAAAAAAUAUGUGCGCAUUGCCAGCGGAGCGAACGGAGCGGGGCGUAUGAGAGGCAGCCACACGUCUGAUAUGAGAUGCUUAAGCUCCAGUUUCCAUUUGGCUGUGCAAAUGGAAGAGACUGAAAAUCAAAUGACUGCAAAAUAAACGAGCAGCUGACUGAAAAUUCGUUAGAAAAACAUUUAUGUGGUUGAAGUCUUAAGCUGGAACGAACGUUGCUCUUUGAUCUGCAGCUACCA